AUGCACGCUGGCGGCGUGCCUAACACAUGCAAGUCGAGCGGCAGCGAGGGGUGCUUGCACCCUGUCGGCGAGCGGCGGACGGCUGAGUAACGCGUGGGAACGUGCCCCAAAGUGAGGAAUAACUGCCCGAAAGGGUAGCUAAUACCGCAUAUUAUCUUCGGAUCAAAGGAUUUAUCCGCUUUGGGAGCGGCUCGCGUCGGAUUAGGUAGUUGGUGAGGUAUUGGCUCACCAAGCCGACGAUCCGUAGCUGGUCUGAGAGGAUGACCAGCCAGACUGGAACUGAGACACGGUCCAGACUCCUACGGGAGGCAGCAGUGAGGAAUCUUCCACAAUGGGCGAAAGCCUGAUGGAGCAACGCCGCGUGCAGGACGAAGGCCUUCGGGUUGUAAACUGCUUUUAUAAGUGAGGAAUAUGACGGUAACUUAUGAAUAAGGAUCGGCUAACUACGUG
rnacentral:rRNA from 1 species